rnacentral:rRNA from 1 species
GAUGAACGCUAGCUACAGGCUUAACACAUGCAAGUCGCGGGGAAACGACAUCGAAAGCUUGCUUUUGGUGGGUGUCGACCGGCGCACGGGUGAGUAACGCGUAUCCAACCUGCCCACCACUUGGGGAUAACCUUGCGAAAGUAAGACUAAUACCCAAUGAUAUCCCACGAAGGCAUCCGAAUGGGAUUAAAGAUUUAUCGGUGAUGGAUGGGGAUGCGUCUGAUUAGCUUGUUGGCGGGGUAACGGCCCACCAAGGCUACGAUCAGUAGGGGUUCUGAGAGGAAGGUCCCCCACAUUGGAACUGAGACACGGUCCAAACUCCUACGGGAGGCAGCAGUGAGGAAUAUUGGUCAAUGGGCGAGAGCCUGAACCAGCCAAGUAGCGUGCAGGAUGACGGCCCUAUGGGUUGUAAACUGCUUUUAUAAGGGAAUAAAGUGAGCCUCGUGAGGCUUUUUGCAUGUACCUUAUGAAUAAGGACCGGCUAAUUCCGUG